GACGAACGCUGGCGGCGUGCUUAACACAUGCAAGUCGAACGCUGAACCCGCUUCGGUGGGGGAUGCGUGGCGAACGGGUGAGUAACACGUGGGCAACCUGCCCCCGGCUCUGGGAUAACUCCAAGAAAUUGGGGCUAAUACCGGAUGUGACCGCUCGCCGCAUGGUCUGGUGGUGGAAAGGGUUUCCGGCUGGGGAUGGGCCCGCGGCCUAUCAGCUUGUUGGUGGGGUAGUGGCCUACCAAGGCGACGACGGGUAGCCGGCCUGAGAGGGUGACCGGCCACACUGGGACUGAGACACGGCCCAGACUCCUACGGGAGGCAGCAGUGGGGAAUAUUGCGCAAUGGGCGGAAGCCUGACGCAGCGACGCCGCGUGGGGGAUGACGGCCUUCGGGUUGUAAACCUCUUUCAGCAGGGACGAAGCGCAAGUGACGGUACCUGCAGAAGAAGCACCGGCCAACUACGUG
rnacentral:rRNA from 1 species